rnacentral:rRNA from 1 species
GUUUGAUCCUGGCUCAGGAUGAACGCUGGCGGUAUGCUUAACACAUGCAAGUCGAACGGUCCUUUCGGUGAUAGUGGCGGACGGGUGAGUAACGCGUGAGAAUCUGUCUUUAGGUCGGGGACAACAGUUAGAAAUGACUGCUAAUACCGGAUGUGCCUUCGGGUGAAAGAUUUAUUGCCUAGAGAUGAGCUCGCGUCAGAUUAGCUAGUAGGUGGUGUAAGAGACUACCUAGGCGACGAUCUGUAGCUGGUCUGAGAGGACGAUCAGCCACACUGGAACUGAGACACGGUCCAGACUCCUACGGGAGGCAGCAGUGGGGAAUUUUCCGCAAUGGGCGAAAGCCUGACGGAGCAAUACCGCGUGAGGGACGAAGGCUUUUGGGUCGUAAACCUCUUUUCUCAAGGAAGAAGUAGACGGUACUUGAGGAAUAAGCAUCGGCUAACUCCGUGCCAGCAGCCGCGGUAAUACGGAGGAUGCAAGCGUUAUCCGGAAUGAUUGGGCGUAAAGCGUCCGCAGGUGGUUUUGUAAGUCUGCUGUUAAAGCGUUAGGCUCAACCUAAUAAGGGCAGUGGAAACUAUGAGACUAGAGUAUGUUAGGGGUAGAGGGAAUUCCCAGUGUAGCGGUGAAAUGCGUAGAGAUUGGGAAGAACACCGGUGGCGAAAGCGCUCUGCUAGGACAAUACUGACACUGAGGGACGAAAGCUAGGGGAGCGAAUGGGAUUAGAUACCCCAGUAGUCCUAGCCGUAAACGAUGGAUACUAGGCGUUGCCCGUAUCGACCCGGGCAUUGUCGUAGCUAACGCGUUAAGUAUCCCGCCUGGGGAGUACGCACGCAAGUGUGAAACUCAAAGGAAUUGACGGGGGCCCGCACAAGCGGUGGAGUAUGUGGUUUAAUUCGAUGCAACGCGAAGAACCUUACCAGGGACUUGACAUGUCGCGAAUCYUUGUGAAACCUAGRGAGUGCCUUCGGGAGCGCGAACACAGGUGGUGCAUGGCUGUCGUCAGCUCGUGUCGUGAGAUGUUGGGUUAAGUCCCGCAACGAGCGCAACCCUCGUUUUUAGUUGCCAGCAUUAAGUUGGGCACUCUAGAGAGACUGCCGGUGACAAACCGGAGGAAGGUGGGGAUGACGUCAAGUCAGCAUGCCCCUUACGUCCUGGGCUACACACGUACUACAAUGCGACGAACAAAGGGCAGCUAGUUAGCAAUAACAUGCAAAUCUCAGAAAUCGUCGCUCAGUUCAGAUUGAAGGCUGCAACUCGCCUUCAUGAAGUCGGAAUCGCUAGUAAUUGCAGGUCAGCAUACUGCAGUGAAUUCGUUCCCGGGCCUUGUACACACCGCCCGUCACACCAUGGAAGCUGGUCACGCCCGAAGUAGUUAUCCUAACCGUUCAGGGAGGGAGACUCCGAAGGUAGGGCUGGUGACUGGGGUGAAGUCGUAACAAGGUAGCCGUACCGGAAGGUGUGGCUGGAUCACCUCCUUUUUAGGGAGACCUACCCAAUUGUUGUAUUGCGUGCGGAAGUACGUACUCAAAAAAGCAACACUCAGGUCAUGACCUAGGUCGUUCGAGGAUUGAUAAGAGGCUUUCAAACUACUUCUCGAAUCGGAUGAAUAAUGAACUGAGAAGGAGAACUAAAUCAUACCCUCAGCAACUAGAGUAAAGCUAUUACAUUGCACUGCUGGAUGUAUAUCCAGGUAGAGUAACGUUGCAAAAUCUGCAUAGCUGACUGCAAUUUGCUAGC